rnacentral:rRNA from 1 species
UACGUAGGGGGCAAGCGUUGUCCGGAAUCAUUGGGCGUAAAGCGCGUGUAGGCGGCUCGAUAAGUCUGCUGUGAAAGUCCAGGGCUCAACCCUGGGAUGCCGGUGGAUACUGUCGAGCUCGAGUCCGGAAGAGGAGUGUGGAAUUCCUGGUGUAGCGGUGAAAUGCGCAGAUAUCAGGAGGAACACCGAUAGCGAAGGCAGCACUCUGGUACGUGACUGACGCUGAGGUGCGAAAGCGUGGGGAGCAAACAGG